GAGUUUGAUCCUGGCUCAGGAUGAACGCUAGCUACAGGCUUAACACAUGCAAGUCGAGGGGCAUCAGGAAGAAAGCUUGCUUUCUUUGCCGGCGACCGGCGCACGGGUGAGUAACACGUAUCCAACCUGCCCUUUACUCGGGGAUAGCCUUUCGAAAGAAAGAUUAAUACCCGAUGGCAUAAUGAUUCCGCAUGGUUUCAUUAUUAAAGGAUUCCGGUAAAGGAUGGGGAUGCGUUCCAUUAGGUUGUUGGUGAGGUAACGGCUCACCAAGCCUUCGAUGGAUAGGGGUUCUGAGAGGAAGGUCCCCCACAUUGGAACUGAGACACGGUCCAAACUCCUACGGGAGGCAGCAGUGAGGAAUAUUGGUCAAUGGGCGCUAGCCUGAACCAGCCAAGUAGCGUGAAGGAUGAAGGCUCUAUGGGUCGUAAACUUCUUUUAUAUAAGAAUAAAGUGCAGUAUGUAUACUGUUUUGUAUGUAUUAUAUGAAUAAGGAUCGGCUAACUCCGUGCCAGCAGCCGCGGUAAUACGGAGGAUCCGAGCGUUAUCCGGAUUUAUUGGGUUUAAAGGGAGCGUAGGUGGACUGGUAAGUCAGUUGUGAAAGUUUGCGGCUCAACCGUAAAAUUGCAGUUGAUACUGUCAGUCUUGAGUACAGUAGAGGUGGGCGGAAUUCGUGGUGUAGCGGUGAAAUGCUUAGAUAUCACGAAGAACUCCGAUUGCGAAGGCAGCUCACUGGACUGCAACUGACACUGAUGCUCGAAAGUGUGGGUAUCAAACAGGAUUAGAUACCCUGGUAGUCCACACAGUAAACGAUGAAUACUCGCUGUUUGCGAUAUACAGUAAGCGGCCAAGCGAAAGCAUUAAGUAUUCCACCUGGGGAGUACGCCGGCAACGGUGAAACUCAAAGGAAUUGACGGGGGCCCGCACAAGCGGAGGAACAUGUGGUUUAAUUCGAUGAUACGCGAGGAACCUUACCCGGGCUUAAAUUGCAGUGGAAUGAUGUGGAAACAUGUCAGUGAGCAAUCACCGCUGUGAAGGUGCUGCAUGGUUGUCGUCAGCUCGUGCCGUGAGGUGUCGGCUUAAGUGCCAUAACGAGCGCAACCCUUAUCUUUAGUUACUAACAGGUUAUGCUGAGGACUCUAGAGAGACUGCCGUCGUAAGAUGUGAGGAAGGUGGGGAUGACGUCAAAUCAGCACGGCCCUUACGUCCGGGGCUACACACGUGUUACAAUGGGGGGUACAGAAGGCAGCUAGCGGGUGACCGUAUGCUAAUCCCAAAAGCCUCUCUCAGUUCGGAUCGAAGUCUGCAACCCGACUUCGUGAAGCUGGAUUCGCUAGUAAUCGCGCAUCAGCCACGGCGCGGUGAAUACGUUCCCGGGCCUUGUACACACCGCCCGUCAAGCCAUGGGAGCCGGGGGUACCUGAAGUACGUAACCGCAAGGAUCGUCCUAGGGUAAAACUGGUGACUGGGGCUAAGUCGUAACAAGGUAGCCGUACCGGAAGGUGCGGCUGGAACACC
rnacentral:rRNA from 1 species